AUAAUCUAAUAUAUAUUAGUCUAUAUAUGCGUGUUUGGAAACUUGGUUUCAGUUUUUCUCUCCCCUACAAAUUAAGCACCCAUGCACCAAACUUGUCCUCAUACUUAUGGUAGAUCAGGUUAAGUUCUGAAUAAUUUUUUAUAGUACGAAAAUAAAAAAUAUUUUACUGCAAGAAGUAGAUAACUACGUGAAAAUACAUAGAGGGCACGUAAUAUGUU